rnacentral:rRNA from 1 species
GAUGAACGCUAGCGACAGGCCUAACACAUGCAAGUCGAGGGGCAGCACAUGAGUAGCAAUACGAUGGUGGCGACCGGCGCACGGGUGAGUAACACGUAUGCAACCUACCUGUAAGAGGGGAAGUAACCCGGAGAAAUUCGGACUAACACCGCAUAAUACCUCGAAGCUGCAUGGCUUUGAGGUUAAAUAUUUAUAGCUUACAGAUGGGCAUGCGUAACAUUAGAUAGUUGGUGAGGUAACGGCUCACCAAGUCAACGAUGUUUAGGGGUUCUGAGAGGAAGGUCCCCCACACUGGUACUGAGACACGGACCAGACUCCUACGGGAGGCAGCAGUGAGGAAUAUUGGUCAAUGGGCGAGAGCCUGAACCAGCCAAGUCGCGUGAAGGAAGAAGGUUCUAUGGAUUGUAAACUUCUUUUGUAUAGGGAUAAACCUUUCCACGUGUGGAAAGCUGAAGGUACUAUACGAAUAAGCACCGGCUAACUCCGUGCCAGCAGCCGC